rnacentral:rRNA from 1 species
AUACGGAGGAUCCGAGCGUUAUCCGGAUUUAUUGGGUUUAAAGGGUGCGCAGGCGGGAGAUUAAGUCGGCGGUGAAAUUUUGCAGCUCAACUGUAAAAGUGCCUUCGAAACUGGUUUCCUUGAGUGUAGAUGAAGUAGGCGGAAUUUGUGGUGUAGCGGUGAAAUGCAUAGAUAUCACGAGGAACUCCGAUUGCGCAGGCAGCUUACUAAACUACUACUGACGCUCAGGCACGAAGGCGUGGGGAUCAAACAGGAUUAGAUACCCUGGUAGUCCACGCAGUAAACGAUGAUUACUAGCUGUUUGCGAUACAAUGUAAGCGGCUGAGCGAAAGCGUUAAGUAAUCCACCUGGGGAGUACGGUCGCAAGAAUGAAACUCAAAUGAAUUGACGGGG